GCCGGCAGCCAUAUCACCCUGUAGCCCAAGACUGGUCACCCACUGAAGCUAAGCAGGGUUGAGCCUGGUCAGUACCUGGAUGGGAGACUCCUGGGAAAACUAGGUUACUGCUGGAA
rnacentral:rRNA from 1 species